AUUGAACGCUGGCGGCAUGCUUUACACAUGCAAGUCGAACGGCAGCGCGGGCUUCGGCCUGGCGGCGAGUGGCGAACGGGUGAGUAAUACAUCGGAACGUGCCCAGUAGUGGGGGAUAGCUCGGCGAAAGCCGGAUUAAUACCGCAUACGACCUGAGGGUGAAAGCGGGGGAUCUUCGGACCUCGCGCUAUUUGAGCGGCCGAUGGCAGAUUAGCUAGUUGGUGGGGUAAAGGCCUACCAAGGCGACGAUCUGUAGCUGGUCUGAGAGGACGACCAGCCACACUGGGACGGAGACACGGCCCAGACUCCUACGGGAGGCAGCAGUGGGGAAUUUUGGACAAUGGGCGAAAGCCUGAUCCAGCAAUGCCGCGUGUGUGAUGAAGGCCUUCGGGUUGUAAAGCACUUUUGGCGGGAACGAAAAGGACUGUGCCAAUACCACGGUUCGAUGACGGUACCCGCAGAAUAAGCACCGGCUAACUACGUG
rnacentral:rRNA from 1 species